rnacentral:rRNA from 1 species
UAGAGUUUGAUCCUGGCUCAGGACGAACGCUGGCGGCGUGCCUAAUACAUGCAAGUCGAACGAGCUGAACCAACAGAUUCACUUCGGUGAUGACGUUGGGAACGCGAGCGGCGGAUGGGUGAGUAACACGUGGGGAACCUGCCCCAUAGUCUGGGAUACCACUUGGAAACAGGUGCUAAUACCGGAUAAGAAAGCAGAUCGCAUGAUCAGCUUAUAAAAGGCGGCGUAAGCUGUCGCUAUGGGAUGGCCCCGCGGUGCAUUAGCUAGUUGGUAGGGUAACGGCCUACCAAGGCAAUGAUGCAUAGCCGAGUUGAGAGACUGAUCGGCCACAUUGGGACUGAGACACGGCCCAAACUCCUACGGGAGGCAGCAGUAGGGAAUCUUCCACAAUGGACGAAAGUCUGAUGGAGCAACGCCGCGUGAGUGAAGAAGGUUUUCGGAUCGUAAAGCUCUGUUGUUGGUGAAGAAGGAUAGAGGUAGUAACUGGCCUUUAUUUGACGGUAAUCAACCAGAAAGUCACGGCUAACUACGUGCCAGCAGCCGCGGUAAUACGUAGGUGGCAAGCGUUGUCCGGAUUUAUUGGGCGUAAAGCGAGCGCAGGCGGAAGAAUAAGUCUGAUGUGAAAGCCCUCGGCUUAACCGAGGAACUGCAUCGGAAACUGUUUUUCUUGAGUGCAGAAGAGGAGAGUGGAACUCCAUGUGUAGCGGUGGAAUGCGUAGAUAUAUGGAAGAACACCAGUGGCGAAGGCGGCUCUCUGGUCUGCAACUGACGCUGAGGCUCGAAAGCAUGGGUAGCGAACAGGAUUAGAUACCCUGGUAGUCCAUGCCGUAAACGAUGAGUGCUAAGUGUUGGGAGGUUUCCCCCCUCUCAGUGCUGCAGCUAACGCAUUAAGCACUCCGCCUGGGGAGUACGACCGCAAGGUUG